UACAGAGGGGGGCAAGCGUUGUUCGGAAUUACUGGGCGUAAAGGGCGCGUAGGCGGCCCGCUAAGUCGAACGUGAAAUCCCCGAGCUCAACUCGGGAACUGCGUCCGAUACUGGCGGGCUUGAAUCCGGGGAGAGGGAUGCGGAAUUCCAGGUGUAGCGGUGAAAUGCGUAGAUAUCAGGAGGAACACCGAUGGCGAAGGCAGGUCUCUGGGGCUGACACUGACGCUUCAGCACGAAAGCGUGGGGAGCAAACAGG
rnacentral:rRNA from 1 species